rnacentral:rRNA from 1 species
GAGUUUGAUCCUGGCUCAGGAUGAACGCUGGCGGCGUGCCUAACACAUGCAAGUCGAACGAAGCGAUGAAGCGGAAGUUUUCGGACGGAAGCAUCAUUGACUUAGUGGCGGACGGGUGAGUAACGCGUGGGUAACCUGCCUCAUACAGGGGGAUAACAGUGGGAAACGACUGCUAAUACCCCAUAAGCGCACGGCAGCAAAAGCUGCAGGGCGAAAAGCGAAUACGGUAUGAGAUGGGCCCGCGUCCGAUUAGCCAGUUGGCAGGGUAAGAGCCUACCAAAGCGACGAUCGGUAGCCGGCUUGAGAGAGUGACCGGCCACAUUGGGACUGAGACACGGCCCAAACUCCUACGGGAGGCAGCAGUGGGGGAUAUUGCACAAUGGGGGAAACCCUGAUGCAGCGANCGCCGCGUGAAGGAAGAAGUAUUUCGGUAUGUAAACUUCUAUCAGCCAGGGAAGAAAAUGANCGUACCUAC